rnacentral:rRNA from 1 species
GCGUGCGGGAAGAAGGCCUUCGGGUUGUAAACCGCUUUUGUCAGGAACGAAACGGUCGAGGCGAAUACCCUUGGCUAAUGACGGUACCUGAAGAAUAAGCACCGGCUAACUACGUGCCAGCAGCCGCGGUAAUACGUAGGGUGCGAGCGUUAAUCGGAAUUACUGGGCGUAAAGCGUGCGCAGGCGGUUAUGCAAGACGGAUGUGAAAUCCCCGGGCUCAACCUGGGAACUGCAUUCGUGACUGCAUAGCUAGAGUUUGUCAGAGGGGGGUGGAAUUCCACGUGUAGCAGUGAAAUGCGU